GAUGAACGCUAGCGGGAGGCUUAACACAUGCAAGUCGAGGGGCAGCACGAGGUAGCAAUACUUUGGUGGCGACCGGCGCACGGGUGAGUAACGCGUAUGCGACCUACCCUGUACAGGGGGAUAACCCGGAGAAAUUCGGACUAAUACCCCAUAAAGAUAUUUAGAGGCAUCUUUGAAUAUUUAAAGUUCCGGCGGUACGGGAUGGGCAUGCGUAACAUUAGCUAGUUGGUAAGGUAACGGCUUACCAAGGCAACGAUGUUUGGGGGUCCUGAGAGGGUGAUCCCCCACACUGGUACUGAGACACGGACCAGACUCCUACGGGAGGCAGCAGUGAGGAAUAUUGGUCAAUGGGCGCAAGCCUGAACCAGCCAUCCCGCGUGAAGGAAGAAUGCGCUAUGCGUUGUAAACUUCUUUUCCAGGGGAAUAAAAUUUUGUACGUGUACGGAAUUGAAGGUACCCUGGGAAUAAGCAUCGGCUAACUCCGUGCCAGCCGCCGCAGUAACAC
rnacentral:rRNA from 1 species